GAUGAACGCUGGCGGCGUGCCUAAUACAUGCAAGUCGAGCGAACGGACGAGAAGCUUGCUGUUCUGAUGUUAGCGGCGGACGGGUGAGUAACACGUGGAUAACCUACCUAUAAGACUGGGAUAACUUCGGGAAACCGGAGCUAAUACCGGAUAAUAUUUUGAACCGCAUGGGGCAAAAGUGAAAGACGGUCGUGCGGUCACUAAUAGAGGGAUACGCGCUGCAUUAGCUAGUUGGUAAGGUAACGGCUUACCAAGGCAACGAUGCAUAGCCGACCUGAGAGGGUGGUCGGCCACCCUGGAACUGAGACACGGUCCAGACUCCUACGGGAGGCAGCAGUAGGGAAUCUUCCGCAAUGGGCGAAAGCCUGACGGAGCAACGCCGCGUGAGUGAUGAAGGUCUUCGGAUCGUAAAACUCUGUUAUUAGGGAAGAACAUAUGUGUAAGUAACUGUGCACAUCUUGACGGUACCUAAUCAGAAAGCCACGGCUAACUACGUG
rnacentral:rRNA from 1 species